ensembl:rRNA 5S_rRNA 5S ribosomal RNA
GGCUAUGGCCAUACCACCCUGAAUGCACCAAAUCUUGUCUGAUCUCAGAAGCUAAGCAGGGUCAGGCCUGGUUAGUACUUGGAUGGGAGACCUACUGGGAAUACUGUGUACUACAGACA